UUGCUCUCGGGGCGCCAGUCUUAUUGGAUUAAGAGAGCCGAAUGACUACUAGAUUUCUUAUUUGGAUAUUUAAGUGACUAGACUGGAGGUAAGGUCCCUGGUCGAGCAUUGCUCUUGGGGCGCCAGUCUUAUUGGAUUAAGAGAGCCGAGUGGCUACUAGAUUUUGGGGUUUAGGGUUCUACCGAGCCACUCGUCCCGUAAAAGUAAAAAUAUAUUUUUAUUUAUUCAUUUAUUAAUUUAUUGUGGUAUGAUUAUAAUAUGGAUUGUAUUACGUGCAUG
rnacentral:lncRNA from 1 species